ensembl:snRNA LOC120096452 U6 spliceosomal RNA
GUGCUCGCUUCAGCAGCACAUAUACUAAAAUCGGAACCAUACAGAGAAGAUUAGCAUGGCCCCUGCUCAGGGGUGACACGGAAAUUUGCAAAGCAUUCCAUAUUUUU